CAGACUUCCUGUGAGUCAGCACCCACAGAUGUGAAUGAAGUAGCUGAAGGUGAAGAAGAGCUCAAAGUGGGUAGAAAUAAGAAAAUCUGGCCAAUGACACUUGGAUACUUCCAGACCUACAUACUGCUGAGGGAGAUGGAAGACAGCCUGAAUCCUGCCUGAGAGACCUAGCUUGUUCCCCUGGAUGGAGGUGACCGGUAAGGUUCAGCCUCCAUGAAGGAAAACAUAAGCUUUCAUCUAAAGAAGAGUAACUCAAACCAGUGCAGAAGCUUUCCCAUCCAUGUUUGCCACCUCCCAGCAGCCCUGGCAGGCAGGAAAAGCUGGUAGCAACAGCCAGGAGGACUCCCAGCAAUGCCUGUCCUAGUGAACACCACCCAGGACCCACCCCUGAAGAAGUAGGUGGUGGAACAGCCAGCCACGAUGAUGCUGAGCUCUUGGAGGCAGAGGAUUUUCUCAGCUGCACUCGCGAGAAGUUGUACACUUGCAUGAGUUGUGGGGACAGUUUUAACCACAAGGGCACCCUGGCAACCCACCAGAAAUACCAUAAGAAGGAGAUAGAGGCUGAAGGCUUUGAGAACGAGGGUGAUGAUGACUAGCCUCCAGAGCUGCAUGACUGAGACGGCAUCAGAGCUGGAGGGGAGGCCAGUGGGGAAGACCCUACCAAGCACAGCAACACAGAGUUAUCCUGAGAAAAGGAAGAAGCCCCAUGCCUGUGGUGAGUGCAGGAAGAGCUUCAAGGUGAGGGUGGACCUCACCAAGCACCUCUGGAAUCACACGGGGGAGAGAUCUUUCUCCUGCACUGACUGCAAAAGGUUCAUCACCAAAUCAAGGAGCACCAGAGGAUCCACAUGGGUCAGCAGAAGUACAAGUGCCUGGACUAUGGGAAGAACCUCACCCAGAAUUUGCCCCUCAUUGUGCACCACGAGAUCCACACAGGUGAGAUGAUCAUGAGCUCCUACAGGUCCCAUGAUAGAAAGGAUUAAGCACUCAACAAGAGAAGGACUGAUGCCUGCUCACUUGGGAAUGUUGUGUCUGCCCCCAAAGUCCAUGGUCCUGGUGGAGCUGCUCUCCUGGGAACAUCUCACAGUAUAUGGUGGGAGCCUGGAGUGGUAAACCUGGGAGGAUCUGGACUUUGGCACAGAGCGAACUUAAACCUCAGUCAAAACUGGCUGACACAAUGGGAGAUUUGGAGAUGAGGGACAGAUAUAAAUACUUAUUUUGGCUUCUUCUUUAUCUCUUAUAUAAGAGUCCUCAUUUCAACAUGGUUGGGUUGGGGUUUUUUUGCUAACAAGAGGGAUGAGAUGUUUUUUAAAGUAAGUAAAUGAAAUCUGUGAUUUCAGAUAUAUUCAUGUGAUUCCAACAGCUGGAGCUUUAAGAAAAAAGAAAAGUACCAAAAAUCUCACCAAACAUAGUAAGGCUUUCCAUCGUCAACUUCCUGGCAGGAGUAGGAGCAAGCCAUAGUUGUUGGUCCCUAGCCUUCCAGCAGCUGAUGCCAGCACUGGCUGUCCUGCAGUCAUGUGAGGCAGUGAGGGGUCUGCUACCAUGGACAAAUUGCAGUCAGAGGUAAGGGAGGAUGCUGUUCUGCUGACAGGCAGGGUACACAACAAAGUGACCACAGACUAGCUGUAUAAUAUGCACAAUUUAUUAAACAAGCACACUAAAGUAAAUAAGCACAUGAAAGCAAACAAGCAUGCUAACCUGAAACUG